UACGAAGGGGGCUAGCGUUGUUCGGAAUCACUGGGCGUAAAGCGUGCGCAGGCGGCUUCUCAAGUCAGGGGUGAAAGCCCAGAGCUCAACUCUGGAAUUGCCUUUGAGACUGAGUGGCUUGAGUACGGGAGAGGGUAGUGGAAUUUCCGGUGUAGCGGUGAAAUGCGUAGAGAUCGGAAGGAACACCAGUGGCGAAGGCGGCUACCUGGACAGAUACUGACGCUGAGGCGCGAAAGCGUGGGGAGCAAACAGG
rnacentral:rRNA from 1 species